rnacentral:rRNA from 1 species
UACGGAGGGUGCAAGCAUUGAUCGGAAUUACUGGGCGUAGAGGGCGCGUAGGCGGCUUGAUAAGUCGGAUGUGAAAUUCCGGGGCUCAACCCCGGAGCUGCAUUUGAAACUAUCCAGCUAGAGGUUAGUAAGGGAAAUCGGAAUUCCACGUGUAGCGGUGAAAUGCGUAGAUAUGUGGAAGAACACCGGUGGUGAAGACGGUUUUCUGUGCUAAACCUGACGCUGAGGCGCGAAAGCUAGGGGAGCAAACAGG